rnacentral:rRNA from 1 species
AUGGGGACAACAGUUGGAAACGACUGCUAAUACCCAAUGUGCCGAAAGGUGAAAGAUUUAUCGUCUGAAGAUGGGCUCGCGUCUGAUUAGCUAGAUGGUGGGGUAAGAGCCUACCAUGGCAACGAUCAGUAGCUGGUCUGAGAGGAUGAGCAGCCACACUGGGACUGAGACACGGCCCAGACUCCUACGGGAGGCAGCAGUGGGGAAUUUUCCGCAAUGGGCGAAAGCCUGACGGAGCAAUACCGCGUGAGGGAGGAAGGUCCUUGGAUUGUAAACCUCUUUUAUCAGGGAAGAAGUUCUGACGGUACCUGAUGAAUAAGCAUCGGCUAACUCCGUGCCAGCAGCCGCGGUAAUACGGAGGAUGCAAGCGUUAUCCGGAAUUAUUGGGCGUAAAGCGUCCGUAGGUGGUUAUGCAAGUCUGCCGUUAAAGAAUGGAGCUUAACUCCAUAGGAGCGGUGGAAACUGCAUAGACUAGAGUACAGUAGGGGUAGCAGGAAUUCCCAGUGUAGCGGUGAAAUGCGUAGAUAUUGGGAAGAACACCGGUGGCGAAAGCGCCUUGCUGGGCCAUUACUGACACUGAGGGACGAAAGCUAGGGGAGCGAAUGGGAUUAGAUACCCCAGUAGUCA